rnacentral:sRNA from 2 species
AACCUUAUAUCGCUUAAUCUUAAUGGAGCGGGGAAACCAAUGAUGGUACCUUAGUACUUGGGGUGAAUCCUUUUUUUAAAGGUAGGGCUACUCUUAAAGCCCGAAUCCGACAGCUAACCUCGUAAGCGUUAGAGAGAAGGUUU